rnacentral:lncRNA from 1 species
UUACUCUUGACUGUUUUGUGAAAUCGAGUUACGUCUGUGAUGAAGAAUUAAAAGGAUGUCUAUAGGAUUGAGUAUGCGGAAUGAAUGAAAUUUAUUGGGUUAAUCUAACGAGACAGUCAAUGGAUACAAGAUCGUGAGUAUAAAGCAGUAUCGAAGAUUAGUAGUUAACUAGUUAUUGGUUCUCUAUCUCCUUAGCAUUACAACUAUAAAGAAGCUACAAACAAGGAUUGAAAGUAGAAUGUUAUCUUGCCAAGAUCUUAUUUUUUUUAUA